rnacentral:SRP_RNA from 1 species
GCUGGGUGUGGUGGCAGGCACCUGUAAUCUCAGCUACUUGGGAGGCUGCGGCAGGAGAAGCGCUUGAGCCCAGGAUUUCAAGGCUGCAGUGAGCUAUGGUUGCGCCACUGCACUCCAGCCUGGGUGACAAGAGUGAAACUUUGUCUCCAAGAGAAAAAUAAAAAAAAGAAAGGAAAAGAAAAAGAAAGAAAGAAAUAGGGUCUUACUCUGUCACCAGGCUGGAGUGCAGUGGCGCAACCAUAGCUCACUGCAGCCUUGAAAUCCUGGGCUCAAGCGCUCCUUCCACCGCAG